UGAUCAUGGAUACAUAGGAGUAUAACACAAUAAUAAAUGAGGGAUUAAAAGGAGCUAGUGUUAUCGAAUAAGUCUAGGGUGCUGCGAGACUAACGCUGUAUUUUAUUUUGGGUUGAAGCGACUAUGUUAUUCUUAACAGAUGCAUAGUAAAUUAGCUCUCAAGUGCAGGUUGCUUGUAAGGCCGCACGACGCAUUUGCUAGUAUGAAUUGCUUUGUUCUGUAAGAUUUCUAUAGAAGAGUAUUGUGAUUCGGAUCACCCAUCAUGUGUGAGUGGGAGAUAUUGGAUCUGGUCCACCCAUGAUGGGUUGACCUGAUCCAUUAGGGUUACAAGACUAACCCAUGAUAGGCGAUAUUACAAUAUUGCCCUUGGCAGUUAUUUUUAAUAACUGCCACUCCUUCUCUUAUUUAAAAUGGAUGUAACUUCCAUUAGGAGGUUAACAGUAACAAAAACAGAAGCAGAAGAACAGUGAUCAAUACAGUACUCUUCCAAAAUCAAUUCUCUGGAAGGACUCUUGCAGAAACGAGAGAGAAAAUCAGUAAAUUGUGUUAUGGAAAUUUCCAAGAGUACAUCGGAUCACCAAAUCGUUAUCAAAUGUCAGAUUCAGGCAACCGGGUGGAGACGCCUAAUACGUAUGCUCAGCCUCAGCAACUACUGAACUUCAGAUCUUUCUAAAGGAAAAAGCUGUGAAGUUUUGGCUGCCGACGACUUAUUCUAAAUUCAUCCCAAUAGUUGAUCUUUUGCCGACGACGGUUGGAAGACUUUUGCCAACGACGACAAUAGUUGACGACGAUAAGAACACUACUGAAUAUUAGUUUCGAUCAAAGGUCUAGACAACAACAAAUAUUAAUGUCUGUAUUUGUUGCUGCUGUCGACGAUAUCGCAGGCUGAGACAACAAAUUCCCGUGCUAUAGUAACCAACGAUUGUACUCCAACAGUACUAACGGUAGGCUAGUCAUUGUAAGGUUGUGUAAUUUUGAUUUAAAUUUUUUAUGUUUGAACGUAUAAAAUUCUUUCCGUUUGAAUGUAUAAACUGAUAGUUGGAAAAGUGCAUUCUGGAAAAGUAAAAGUAGACUGUUUAUAUUUACUUUGAAUUGCUGCAACAGUGACACUUUAUAUUUGUAUUCUUUUGGUUAAUUGAUGCACAGCAAGCCAGCAAAAUCAUCACUAUGUUUA